AUUGAACGCUGGCGGCAGGCUUAACACAUGCAAGUCGAGCGGAGCGAGGGUGCUUGCACCUUAGCUUAGCGGCGGACGGGUGAGUAAUGCUUAGGAAUCUGCCUAUUAGUGGGGGACAACAUUCCGAAAGGAAUGCUAAUACCGCAUACGCCCUACGGGGGAAAGCAGGGGAUCUUCGGACCUUGCGCUAAUAGGUGAGCCUGAGUCGGAUUAGCUAGUUGGUGGGGUAAAGGCCUACCAAGGCGACGAUCUGUAGCGGGUCUGAGAGGAUGAUCCGCCACACUGGGACUGAGACACGGCCCAGACUCCUACUGGAGGCAGCAGUGGGGAAUAUUGGACAAUGGGCGGAAGCCUGAUCCAGCCAUGCCGCGUGUGUGAAGAAGGCCUUUUGGUUGUAAAGCACUUUAAGCGAGGAGGAGGCUACCUGGAUUAAUACUCUAGGAUAGUGGACGUUACUCGCAGAAUAAGCACCGGCUAACUCUGUGCCAGCCGCCGCGGUAAGAC
rnacentral:rRNA from 1 species